rnacentral:rRNA from 1 species
UUGUAGUCAUAUGCUUGUCUCAAAGAUUAAGCCAUGCAUGUCUAAGUAUAAGCAACUUUGUACUGUGAAACUGCGAAUGGCUCAUUAAAUCAGUUAUAGUUUAUUUGAUGGUUUUUGCUACAUGGAUAACUGUGGUAAUUCUAGAGCUAAUACAUGCAUUCAAGCCCCGACUUCUGGAAGGGGUGUAUUUAUUAGAUAAAAAUCAACUUUGUUGGUGAAUCAUAAUAACUUCUCGGACCGCAUGGCCUCGUGCUGGCGGUGCUUCAUUCAAAUAUCUGCCCUAUCAACUGUCGAUGGUAGGAUAGAGGCCUACCAUGGUUGCAACGGGUAACGGGGAAUAAGGGUUCGAUUCCGGAGAGGGAGCCUGAGAAACGGCUACCACAUCCAAGGAAGGCAGCAGGCGCGCAAAUUACCCAAUCCCAACACGGGGAGGUAGUGACAAUAUGUAACAAUAUACGGCCUUAUACGUCGUAUAAUUGGAAUGAGUACAAUUUAAAUCCCUUAACGAGGAACAAUUGGAGGGCAAGUCUGGCGCCAGCAGCCGCGGUAAUUCGGGGCGGGGGCGGCGG